rnacentral:rRNA from 1 species
UACGUAGGGCGCAGGCGUUGUCCGGAAUUAUUGGGCGUAAAGAGCUCGUAGGCGGUCUGUCGCGUCCGUUGUGAAAACUCGAGGCUCAACCUCGGGCUUGCAGUGGAUACGGGCAGACUAGAGUGCGGUAGGGGAGACUGGAAUUCCUGGUGUAGCGGUGGAAUGCGCAGAUAUCAGGAGGAACACCGAUGGCGAAGGCAGGUCUCUGGGCCGCAACUGACGCUGAGGAGCGAAAGCCAGGGGAGCAAACGGG